CCAGCAAAUCGCUUUUUUUCCAGAUAAGGGGUUGUGAACCCACCUGGGGAUGAGGCCUGGUCUUAUGGAAAGUGGACUUAGCUUCGCUGGGCUAGGCCGACAGCUGUGGCCCAGGGUGGUAUGUAAU
rfam:Rattus norvegicus strain BN; Sprague-Dawley chromosome 1 CRA_213000034396670, whole genome shotgun sequence.